rnacentral:lncRNA from 1 species
GUUCCACCUGGGAAACAGCUUCUUCACACCCCUGCCUGACACCUGCUUUGCUAGCCUGGAAAGAUGAACUUGAAGGCCCAGAGGUAGCCACAAAGGUGGAAGUGUGCUCAAGUCCAGAAAAGGGUCCAACACUUGAGGUUUGGGUGAACCCUAAUGUUUGCACUGAAGAGGAAUGACUUACUCCAGAAGACGCUGGAAAGCUGGAUACCUGUGAAAAUCCCGAGCUCUUCCCAGAUAAGGUACUGUUUUGUCCAAAAAGAGAAGGUUGACCAAAUCGAAAUGGCGGCUUAGAUGGAAGUGUUCCUACAUUACUAGAAGACGCCGAAAAAGCACUAGGCUGCUGCCCACUGAAAGGAUUAGUUGGGUUCAUCUUCUGCUCCAAUUAUUAGAAGCCGGAGAAUUCACUGUAACGCUGUCAAAACCUUAGCGUUUCGGGAUCUCCUCCCACCUGGCUUCCCUCGGAGCGGCUGGAGCGCUAAGCACUUUCUCACAUUCCUUCAUCGCGCCCUGGCGGCCACCCUCGAGCGGGCUGGAAGGACGAGGGCGCUGCCACGAAGCUGAGGCCUCUCGGCGGGGACGGCGUGCCCGGGGAGCCUAAUCUUCCACCCAGCACAGCCCGAAACGGCGGAGGCCACGCGCUGGGCC